AGAGUUGUUAGUGGUGUGCUCACCUU
rnacentral:piRNA from 1 species